AUAGCGUAUAUUAAAGUUGUUGCAGUUAAAAAGCUCGUAGUUGAACUUUAGGCAAGGCGGUCUGGUCGCCCACUGGGUGUACUGGACUCGCCGCGCCUCACCUUCGGGGAACUAGUCGUGCUUCGGUGCGCUAGGGAACCGAGCCUUACUUUGAAGAAAUUAGAGUGUUUAAAGCAGGCUUACGCUUGAAUACAUCAGCAUGGAAUAACAUGAUAGGACUUUGGUUCUAUUUUGUUGGUUUGAGGACCAAAGUAAUGAUUAAUAGGGCCAGUCGGGGGCAUUAGUAUUCUAUAGUCAGAGGUGAAAUUCUUGGAUUUAUAGAAGACUAACUAAUG
rnacentral:rRNA from 1 species